CUGUGUUCACAGGGAACCUUACCCGCAGGACUUCCUGAGCUGCAUGCCAGAACAUCCGCAGUACCGUCAGGCCAAGGCAACGUGGACAUCAGAGUUGUGCUGCAGAGGUUCCAAAUUCUGCUCUCUGCGGGAUCCAGUCUGGACCAGCACCAGGAACAUCAAUGCCAUCAGGAUCGACCAAGAGGAGUGGUGCUGCCCUCACGACCCUCCAUACAUAGCGGUAGGAAACCUUUUUGUUGUUGUUGUGUUUCUUGUUGAUGUUGUUCUUGAUUGUUGUUUUUAUUGAUGGAUUUUGAAUCUCAGGGUGGUUCACAAUACCAAGCUACAGUAUAUGAAGCACAAAAUAGAUAAUAAAAAUAAUCACUGCACAAAAUUCAUGAUAAAAAUAUCAGAACAUAAUAAAAAUUAAAAUAAUAAAAAACAUAUGCGCAAUGAAUAAACAAUACAAAAGCCCCGAAAACACUCCAGCCCACAAAUACAAAAUCUAAAUCAACAUAUCACGUUUAACAACCGUUUAGAACAACCCCGCCCUGCAAAUCAAACAGCACCCACCCAAGAUAAAACCCCAUCUUUGUUAAAACAGUUAUGUUAACACAAGGGGGCUGGCCCACGAUCUGGUCCCACCCCCUAAGUGCUGCUCCCAAAGGGACAAUCUUAUCUUUGUUGUUUCCCCUUUGUCAGGAGUCCCGCCCCCAGGACAAGCAGGCUCCCCCAGUUGCUGGUGGUACGCCCAGGGUCCGGUUCCUUGCAGGACUCUCUGCUAUCCUCUUGAGUGAGGGGUGGCAGGCAACCCCCAAGCAGUAACUUUCUUCCAUUUCUUUAUUAGAAAACACCUCCCCCUUUUAAUUUUUUUUUUCACCAACAGCGGGGAUUAUGUUGGGGGCAACUAGAGGGACUAACAUUCAUGAAAUUUAAUACCCUUUCUAACAUAAUCUCUUUUCUCUCUUUCCUGCAUGGAACAAAACUGUGAUGGAAAAUGGCGGCCUAUCUGCUGGACCCUAGGGGGAGACCUCCGGAGAAAAGAAGACCCCAUCAAGAAUGUCAUCAGCCGGGAAAGGAACUGCCCUGAAGACAACACCUGCAACAUUGACCCUCCAUCUAGCAGUGAAUUUGAGGACUGGACACUUUUUAUUGACUCUUUCAGGACUUAAAACAGCAAACAGGACUUUUUGUAGUGAGAUAGGUAAGUUAAAAUGGAUGUAUAGAAUAGUAUAGGCAAAAUAUGAAGCAUUCAAGGAUAGGUAACACUAUGCUAGAUAGUAUUUUGUAUAUUAUUUUUGUUCCUUCUUUUUUAUAAACAUCUUUGUUCUUUCCCCCCCAUUUCCCCCCUUCCCAUCACUUUAUUUCUUUAUAAUUUUAAUUCUUUUAUUAAAAAUAUAUUUUUUAAAAAGGGUAAAUAUGGAUCUUAUGGUUUAUGUUAAAAUGUGUAAAAAAUCAUUUUGUAAAAAAUGAAUAAUAUUUUUGUUAAAAAGAGAAA